rnacentral:rRNA from 1 species
UACGGAAGGCAGCAGUGGGGAAUAUUGCACAAUGGGCGCAAGCCUGAUGCAGCCAUGCCGCGUGUAUGAAAAAGGCCUUCGGGUUGUAAAGUACUUUCAGUCGUGAGGAAGGUGUUAAGGUUAAUAACCUUAGCAAUUGACGUUAGCGACAGAAGAAGCACCGGCUAACUCCGUGCCAGCAGCCGCGGUAAUACGGAGGGUGCGAGCGUUAAUCGGAAUUACUGGGCGUAAAGGGCACGCAGGCGGUUAAUUAAGUCGGAUGUGAAAUCCCCGGGCUUAACCUGGGAAUGGCAUUCAAGACUGGUUAGCUAGAGUCUUGUAGAGGGGGUAGAAUUCCAUGUGUAGCGGUGAAAUGCGUAGAGAUGUGGAGGAAUACCGGUGGCGAAGGCGGCCCCUGGACAAAGACUGACGCUCAUGUGCGAAAGCGUGGGGAGCAAACAGGGAUUAGAUACC